CCUCCUUUUCUCCAGGCUGAGCCCCCCCAGCUCCAUCAGAGGCUCCUCAUCAGGCUUGUGCUCCAGACCCUCCUAGUAGUCAAGAGACAGAUGCAAUAACUUCAGGAACAGCAACAUGACAGGAACAAGUAAGGAAAAAAGUACCUUAUAAGUAAGCAAAAAUAAGAAAAAGAACACUACGGAAGAGAAAAAUGGUCUUGUCUGCAAUAAAACAUCCAGAUGAUGAGCACUGCUGAGGAGAGACUUAUCUCCAACAGCUCUUAACACAAUAGACCUCAACCCCAGCUGAAGACUAGAUGCAAGACUGCCAAAAGUAAAUACUGUGGAUAUUUGUAGGGACUCGUAAAGCUCCUCUCACGUUUCA